rnacentral:rRNA from 1 species
UAACGCGAAGAACCUUACCUGGUCUUGACAUCCACGGAAGUUUUCAGAGAUGAGAAUGUGCCUUCGGGAACCGUGAGACAGGUGCUGCAUGGCUGUCGUCAGCUCGUGUUGUGAAAUGUUGGGUUAAGUCCCGCAACGAGCGCAACCCUUAUCCUUUGUUGCCAGCGGUCCGGCCGGGAACUCAAAGGAGACUGCCAGUGAUAAACUGGAGGAAGGUGGGGAUGACGUCAAGUCAUCAUGGCCCUUACGACCAGGGCUACACACGUGCUACAAUGGCGCAUACAAAGAGAAGCGACCUCGCGAGAGCAAGCGGACCUCAUAAAGUGCGUCGUAGUCCGGAUUGGAAUCUGCAACUCGACUCCAUGAAGUCGGAAUCGCUAGUAAUCGUGGAUCAGAAUGCCACGGUGAAUACGUUCCCGGGCCUUGUACACACCG